GCUGGCGGCACGCCUAACACAUGCAAGUCGAACGAAGUAGCAAUACUUAGUGGCAGACGGGUGAGUAACAUGUAGGUAUCUGCCCUUUGGCCUGGAAUAACACGAGGAAACUUGUGCUAAUACCGGAUAAGUCUUUACGGAGAAAGCUUUAUGCACCAUUGGAUGAGCCUGCACUUGAUUAGUUUGUUGGUGGGGUAAUGGCCUACCAAGACUGUGAUCAAUAGCUGAUUUGAGAGGAUGAUCAGCCACAUUGGGACUGAGACACGGCCCAAACUCCUACGGGAGGCAGCAGUGGGGAAUCUUGCACAAUGGAGGAAACUCUGAUGCAGCGAUGCCGCGUGAGUGAAGAAGGCCCUUGGGUUGUAAAGCUCUUUCGUCGGGGAAGAAAAUGACUGUACCCGAAUAAGAAGGUCCGGCUAACUUCGUGCCAGCAGCCGCGGUAAUACGAAGGGACCUAGCGUAGUUCGGAAUUACUGGGCUUAAAGAGUUCGUAGGUGGUUGAAAAAGUUAGUGGUGAAAUCCCAGAGCUUAACUCUGGAACUGCCAUUAAAACUUUUCAGCUAGAGUAUGAUAGAGGAAAGCAGAAUUUCUAGUGUAGAGGUGAAAUUCGUAGAUAUUAGAAAGAAUACCAAUUGCGAAGGCAGCUUUCUGGAUCAUUACUGACACUGAGGAACGAAAGCAUGGGUAGCGAAGAGGAUUAGAUACCCUCGUAGUC
rnacentral:rRNA from 1 species